rnacentral:rRNA from 1 species
UACGGAGGGUGCAAGCGUUGUCCGGAAUUAUUGGGCGUAAAGAGCUCGUAGGCGGUGUGUCACGUCGUUCGUGAAAACCUGCAGCUUAACUGUGGGCGUGCGGUCGAUACGGGCAUCACUGGAGUUCGGCAGGGGAGUCUGGAAUUCCUGGUGUAGCGGUGAAAUGCGCAGAUAUCAGGAGGAACACCGGUGGCGAAGGCGGGACUCUGGGCCGAUACUGACGCUGAGGAAGCGAAAGCGUGGGGAGCAACAGG